GUGCCAGCAGCCGCGGUAAUACGGAGGGUGCUAGCGUUGUUCGGAAUUACUGGGCGUAAAGCGCGUGUAGGCGGUUGGUUAAGUUCCGUGUGAAAGCCCUGGGCUCAACCCAGGAAGUGCGCGGAAAACUGGCUAACUGGAGUGUCGGAGAGGAUGGCGGAAUUCCCGGUGUAGAGGUGAAAUUCGUAGAUAUCGGGAGGAACACCUGUGGCGAAGGCGGCCAUCUGGACGAUGACUGACGCUGAGACGCGAAAGCGUGGGUAGCAAACAGGAUUAGAUACCCUGGUAGUCC
rnacentral:rRNA from 1 species